GGAUCGCGGCCGCCCCGCCGGCCCUGCAGGCCAAAAACAAGUCUGCAAGAGCCGGAUGGGAACAAAAAGACACGAAACUGAACCCGCAAAUGGUGUUUAAGUUAAGGGCUGGGGGAGGCAGAGCCUCCACACCACGUUAAAUGGGAGUGCUCCGGGCUGCCGAGCGGGAAAGGCCACAGGCCUUAAAUGCUGCUCACAAGAGGCUGGCAAGCAAUAAAUAUUUUCAUACCCUCGUGUGAGGAGAGACUGCGGGAGCUGGGCCUGAUGGGACCUCACGUAAAUCAGGCAGGAGAGAUGUUAUCAAAAUGGAAUAAUUUCCCACCAGAACUCAUACUGAAACCUUAACUAAUAUUGAAAAGUCUGUGCUCUGCCAUGUCUUCAAAUCCAUGGAAUUUGGAAUUCCAGAAAUUCCGUUUCCCAUCCCGUAACAUUUUGUCUGCCUUUGUAUCCUUUGAUGGCUGCAGAGUGCAUUCUAUGAACUCUGGAGAGAGCCAAGGAGACACUCACGUGAUUUUGAAUUAGUUUGAAGUUCUCCAUUUGGUCCCUAAAGAAAAGCAGAACUCUCAUUUCUCCUGACAUUGCACCAAAAUUAAAGGAAGCUUAUACAAUGUCUAAACUUCAGCUGUGCUUCAAUCCUGAGUCUAUUCAGAACUCUUUUUUUUUACCAUUGUUUUAUUUUUUAAAACCUUACUCAGAGCUGUUCCAACCUGCUGUUAUUUGCCACUUCUUUAACAACUGGAUGACAAUCACCACUGCUGCCUUCUGAGGAAGGACCCAGGUAGCAGA